rnacentral:lncRNA from 1 species
AUGUGUGGGAGGAAGGGAAGAAGAGUAAUGCCUCUGUUACAGGUCACCACUCUGAGGCAUCACUCUCUGCUGGGCACAGAGAGGGAGAAAUGCCCCCGCAGCCAGGAGAUCCCCUCCGAGCCUGACAGGAGGGCAAGGAAAACAGACUCAUCCGUGGCUCAGAAGCAAAAAUUCCCCAGCUCAGCAAACAAGCACCAGCUUGUAAAGGAGCACAAAGUAAAUUGCACAUGUUCUGGGGAGAGAUAUGCUUUGGGGCAGCCCUUUAGCCACAAAAACAAACAAACAAAAAAAUCUGUUAUCUUAAUAAAAUGAGAUUAUUUUUUAAAAUCUGGAGGACCGGUUGUCAGUAUCCGUGGACAAACCAUCAGGUGGGCUCUGAAAGGGAUUGAAUCCACAGGGAGAUGGGUCUGGCUGACUGGUGGCUGUGUGAAAUCAGAGUCCAAGCCUGACAUCUGGCUCCUCUGGACAAGCAAAGCUUUGGUCUCCAUGUAGGUGACUGCUGUAAGUCCUUUAUCCUACAGCUGUGGAUCCCUGAGAAAACACAGCAAAGAGGAACUGCUGCCUUCACCCAUCAACCCUGGCUUAACUGUGGGCCUUGAGACCAUACUAUCAUUAGUUCUGGAUAUUACUGGUCUUUUAAAGACAUAAUAAUGCAGCCAGGUUUUCAUUUAUACCUUACUGGUUUUGCUAGGAAGUGGUGAAAAGACACAGAGGAAACACUACUAUGGUGCUUAUGACUGUUGAGGGGAAAUAGCUGUGACCAGCUCAUUUAUUUUCCUUGACCAGGCCAUAUGCUUGUGGCCAGCAAAACCAUUUUAUCCAGUACAUGGACAUGUGGUUACCACCAAACUCCUCCAGCAGGUAGUCCAAGAAAGGUGUAAAAAAAAGGUCUUUUACAACACAUGCAAAAAACUGUCAGAGAACAAUCUGGUAAGCUCAGAAAAUUACCAGAAAAUUUGGAAAGCUCAGUCCCACCAAUUUUUGUAGGAAAAAUUUGCCCUGUGGUAGUCAGUUUUUCUCCUUUCACAACCAGGGGCUGCUCACCUGGACAAGGGUUU